rnacentral:rRNA from 1 species
AACGAACGCUGGCGGUAUGCCUAACACAUGCAAGUCGAACGAGACCUUCGGGUCUAGUGGCGCACGGGUGCGUAACGCGUGGGAACCUGCCCUUAGGUUCGGAAUAACUCCCCGAAAGGGGUGCUAAUACCGGAUAAUGUCUUCGGACCAAAGAUUUAUCGCCUUUGGAUGGGCCCGCGUUGGAUUAGCUAGUUGGUAGGGUAAAAGCCUACCAAGGCGACGAUCCAUAGCUGGUCUGAGAGGAUGAUCAGCCACACUGGGACUGAGACACGGCCCAGACUCCUACGGGAGGCAGCAGUGGGGAAUAUUGGACAAUGGGCGAAAGCCUGAUCCAGCAAUGCCGCGUGAGUGAUGAAGGCCUUAGGGUUGUAAAGCUCUUUUACCCGGGAUGAUAAUGACAGUACCGGGAGAAUAAGCUCCGGCUAACUCCGU